GCGAGAUGACGAUAAAAUUCAUGGUCUGUCAAUCCACUGAAAUCAAAUUAUUUUGAUUCUGAUGUUACUCUUGAAUCUCGACAGGUUCUGAUCGC
rfam:Macleaya cordata isolate BLH2017 scaffold8957, whole genome shotgun sequence.